UCACACGAACCAAAUGUGAACUUGUUGGUGCAGCGCUUUUGAGCGAAUGGCGCCCGCCUCCCAUUUUUCACGUGGGCGCCGAGUCCUGCCUGAGUGCCCCCCGUCGGCAAGAGAGCUGCAGAGCUGCGUGCUCUUCCGCUUUUGCUCUGUCAUCAGCAACGUAAUUUCCGCUCUUUGUGUCUCUGCACGUGGGUGGCAAAACAGAAAAGGAUUACGAGCUAAGGGAGCGACGCCAAAAAGCGAAUGCAAACAAAAUGCAAAAAAAGCAAAACAGAAAAAGAAGAAGAAGAAGAAGAAGCUGAAGCUGAAGAGAAGCAAAGGCAACUGCUGCGAUUGACCUGCACGCAAAGUUCAUAAACAUCAAGUGGCGGGCAUAUCAAAUGGCCAAAUGGUCAGUGGCCAGUGGCUAGUGGCUAGUGGCUAAGGCAACAAGUGAUCCGCGCCCAGUUGGCAGACAGGUAUCAACAACAGCAACAAUAACAACAACAGCAACAACAUUGUCCGGCUUGGCAGUUCAUCAAAUUCUCAUGUGACCAAAGCCCAAAAGCCACGCCUCCGCCCACCCCCCACCAAAAGACCUCAGCACCGACUCCAACUCCAACUCCAGCUCCAGCUCCAAGCAGCGCUGUUGCACCCAGUCACUUGUUGGAUUCUAGGGCUUGGCUUCGGAAAUUCCCAUUCCCGAUCAUGGCGACCCUUUCCAGCAGUGUAUGUGUGUGUGUGUGUGUGUAAUCCAGGCGCGUGAUGGAACGCCGGACAAUGGAAGUGCCACUGGAGUGGGUGUGUAUGUGUGUGCGUGUGUGCCUGUUGAGCGAACGAAUGCAUUUGUAUGCAGCGUGGCGGAUGCGCCGGGCGAAGCGUUUAUUUCUUCAUUUGACGCAAAUGAUGUUCGACACAAGCCUGGAAUGCACUAAACCGCUAGCUAAGCAUAAACCGGAGCCGUGAUCCCCCAAUCCCAGCGCUGAAAACCCAAAACCAAAAACCCAAAGUCGAGUGUUGAAACUCGCAAUCGAAACCGAGCUCAACUCCUGAGUUUUCUGACCGCAGCCGGUGAAGGGCAGACAAAGGAAACGAAAGGGCGUACGCAGGCGGUGGCGGUGGCAAUGCCAACAAUAACAACAAGUGCCCAAAUACACUGCACGAAAAAUACUAGCCAAAGGUCAGAAUACUUAUGCUGAUUGAAGAUCCGAAGCGAAUGCCAUUCUGGGUUUUUGCACGCUUCUUGUUAUUUGAAACCCGGAUUUAAACAGAACAUGAAAAAGAAAGAACAACGAGUCACAAAUUACUUUUACCGAUCACAAAAUCUACAACAACAACCAGAAAAGAAGAAGAAGAAGAGUAAUAAGAACAAGAAGAAGAAGAAGAAGAAGAAGAGACAUUGUCGAGGAUGAUGACAACUCCAAGUGAAGUGGACGCCAGCUGAAUGCAAAUGCACAAAUUAAGCGACGCAACAAACAAAUUUCCUAUGUGGACAAAAUGCACUUGCCCAAAGGUUGUCCCGAUGCCAUGCCCGAUUUAUAUAUAUGUACGUACAUGUGUACAUGUUCGAUAUCCAAUAUCCCAAGCCAAACCAAUUGUGAAUGCUAAAUGAAAUUCUGCUUGGCGGUAAAUGGACAUUAUUUUUAUGUACAUAUAUAAAUUGGAAUUUUUUGAAAGGCCGCCAAGCCGGAUGAACUUAUUGUUUAUGAACCUUUUUCCUUUGAAUUGCUAAGCGGAAAAAUCGAGUGGAAGGCGUUUCUUUGAAGUAAACUGAAAACACAGUUUUAAAAGAUCUUGGUAUAUGUAGAUUGAUGCAUUAAGAUAAAUAGAUAGAAUCUUCCUAUCUCUAAUUAUCAUAAACAUUACAUUACCUAUCAUCUAAAAGAGUCUAAAAUUACAAAUAUAAUAAUUACUUUAUAGUUUAGA